ensembl:lncRNA
CCCGCACGGCACCGCCGACGGAACGGCACCGGGACGGAACCGCGGCACGACGGGAGCGGUGCUGAGCUCUGCGGUACCGGGGGGUGAGGGGGAGUGGGAUUUGGAGGGGAAGGAGUGAGUGCAGCCCCGGGACAGGAAAGGAACCCUGUGCGGCCAUAACCCACCUCCGUGUGGGGUGUGUGGUUGGGAAAUGGAUGUGGGAUUGGGGUUCGGAUCUGGGAUAUGGAAUUAUGGCUGUGGGAUUGGGAUGGGGAUUAUGGUGUGGGAUUGGAAGGUGGGGUAUAGGAUUGGGGGUGUGGGAUUGGGAUUUGCAUUGGGCUGUGGGGCCGGGAUGUGGGGUUGGCAUAUAGGAUUAGAGGUGUGGGAUUGGGAUUUGCAUUGGGCUGUGGGGCUGGAAUGUGGGGUUGGGAUUGAGGUCAGGAUGUGGGAUGUAAAGAAACGUGCCCUGUUCACAGGUGGGUCGUGUGGUGUUGUGGGGAAGCACUGCAGAUGGAAAGCUGCUGUGUGGAGCCCCACAGGAUGAGUUGCAGAGGCCCCUGAAGGAAAAGGAGAAGGAAGGGCAUUUGCAGAGGGAAAGGCUGUCCCGCUGGCCUUAGGUGUUGCUGAACGGGAGGGGUGGCCAAUGCUUUCUCUUUCCGCUGACUCACGGAUGGUGACAAA